UACGGAAGGCAGCAGCGGGGAAUAUUGCACAAUGGGCGCAAGCCUGAUGCAGCCAUGCCGCGUGUAUGAAGAAGGCCUUCGGGUUGUAAAGUACUUUCAGUCGUGAGGAAGGUGUUAAGGUUAAUAACCUUAGCAAUUGACGUUAGCGACAGAAGAAGCACCGGCUAACUCCGUGCCAGCAGCCGCGGUAAUACGGAGGGUGCGAGCGUUAAUCGGAAUUACUGGGCGUAAAGGGCACGCAGGCGGUUAAUUAAGUUGGAUGUGAAAUCCCCGGGCUUAACCUGGGAAUGGCAUUCAAGCUGGUUAGCUAGAGUCUUGUAGAGGGGGUAGAAUUCCAUGUGUAGCGGUGAAAUGCGUAGAGAUGUGGAGGAAUACCGGUGGCGAAGGCGGCCCCUGGACAAAGGACUGACGCUCAUGUGCGAAAGCGUGGGGAGCAAAC
rnacentral:rRNA from 1 species